rnacentral:sRNA from 1 species
GUAGUGUGGUAGGACCCCGGCGGGUGUGGCAGCAACUGCCCUGGAGCCCCAGCCCCUGCGUCCAUCUGUGCUGUGCGCCCCACAGUAGACGUGCAGACGUCCCUGAGAGCAGCGAUGACCUCUGGGGUCACUGUCCCAGGAGGGACUUCACCUGGAACGAGAGCUGGAGGCAGCCGCUUGCCCAGGAGGCUUGUCCCCUGAGGCGCUUCGCCAGUGAGGUGCGGGCUCAGGGCCUCGAGUCUCUCCUGGAGCACGGGCUGCGGUGCGCUGGCAGCUUACGGGGCGGCCAGUCCUUGCCCACAACGAUGUGGAGCCCUGUGAAAGUCGGAUUCGAAUAAAGGGCCACGUGUGCACCCAGAAA